GUAAACGAUGAAUACUAGGUGUUGGCUUCAUUUGGAGCCAGUGCCGCAGCUAACGCAUUAAGUAUUCCACCUGGGGAGUACGAUCGCAAGGUUGAAACUCAAAGGAAUUGACGGGGGCCCGCACAAGCAGUGGAGCAUGUGGUUUAAUUCGAUGCAACGCGAAGAACCUUACCUAGGCUUGAAAGGCAAGCGAUAGGGUAUGAAAGUACCCCUCCAGCAAUGGCGCUUGUACAGGUGCUGCAUGGCUGUCGUCAGCUCGUGCCGUGAGGUGUUGGGUUAAGUCUCGCAACGAGCGCAACCCCUACCAUUAGUUGCCAUCAGGUUACGCUGGGCACUCUAAUGGGACUGCCUACGCAAGUAGUGAGGAAGGUGGGGAUGACGUCAAGUCAGCAUGGCCCUUACGUCUAGGGCUACACACGUGCUACAAUGGGUGCUACAACGGGUAGCUAAACCGCAAGGUGGAGCCAAUCCCUAAAAGGCAUCCUCAGUUCGGAUUGGAGUCUGCAACCCGACUCCAUGAAGCUGGAAUUGCUAGUAAUCGCGCAUCAGCAUGGCGCGGUGAAUACGUUCCCGGGCCUUGUACACACCGCCCGUCAAGCCAUGGAAGCCGGGGGUACCCGAAGUCAGUGACUCAACCGCAAGGGGAGAACUGCCUAAGGUAAAACCGGUGACUGGGGCUAAGUCGUAACAAGGUAACCA
rnacentral:rRNA from 1 species